rnacentral:rRNA from 1 species
AACGAACGCUGGCGGCAGGCCUAACACAUGCAAGUCGAGCGAGACCUUCGGGUCUAGCGGCGGACGGGUGAGUAACGCGUGGGAAUAUGCCCUUUGGUACGGAAUAGCCUCGGGAAACUGAGAGUAAUACCGUAUGUGCCCUUCGGGGGAAAGAUUUAUCGCCAAAGGAUUAGCCCGCGUUGGAUUAGGUAGUUGGUGGGGUAAUGGCCUACCAAGCCUACGAUCCAUAGCUGGUUUGAGAGGAUGAUCAGCCACACUGGGACUGAGACACGGCCCAGAC